CUCGCACGUGACACGCCGUGCCGCAGAUUGUGGAGUCCCAGGACGCAACGGCUGCGAUGUAUUGGUUCCUAGUAAUCGUACCUAUGUGCUUUAUGAGAAAUGCUUGGAGAACUUCCCCUGAUGACAGCAGAUAUUGAGACCAGAGCCUCUCAGAGGAUGCAACAGCACCUAAAGACUUGUGCAAUGCAUGUGGAGGAUGUUCAGAGGGUUGCUAGGCAGCAUGUCCCGUUACAAACAGCAGUCCUCCCACCAUGUCCUGAGUUCUCCCCUCCGUCAGCCCCGCCCACACACUUCUGAUCAUACAGUAGCAGAAAGCCUGGAUGACAAAGACCAGAACGCUGAAGAAUGGAGUUUGUGAUUGGAUGGAAGAGCCAGUGACGGGGAGGAAUUGGAGGGAGAGGAGGAGAAACAGUGGAAAAGCAGCACAGUGUGGCGGCGUCAGGGGUGAAGAUGUUGCCGGAGAAUCAGAAGAAGCAGGGCGUGACAGUGAAGGGACUGCAUCGUGUCCUGGGAGAACAGCCGUGACAGGCCAGCCAGAAUGAAGAGCUAUUUCCGCUUUCUCUAGCUAGCCAAUCAAACGCGCCUGUAUAAUAACUCUUAAUAGACCUCUUACAUUUAGGAUCAGUUUUCAGUAUAUUGGCUAAUAUAAAUGUUUUAACCAGUUGGAAUUCCCAAUUCUGACUACCACCAGUGACAUCACUCGGCAACUUUCCGGAAUUUCCGAAAUGACUUCAGGUUCUCCCGUCAAUUUAUUUGAAUUUGUUUUUAAAGAAACAUGUUAUUUUAAUUUUAAUUCACAUAAAUUUUUCAGUAGCUAAGAUAAUGUGACAUCUUCAGGAAGGUCCAGUAGGUGGC